UCCUGCCAGAAUCCCAGAAACCCUGCCCGUUGGCUCUCUCCAGUCACUCAACACAACGCGUGGUAAUUUUGUGAGUCGAAGGCAAGCAUUUCCCGGGCUAAAAACCCCCGAGUCUCCUCUGGGUGAGUAUUCAGGUCAGUUCCAGACUAUUCCCUCUCUCCUCCCGGCGUUACUCUCAGCUUCUGGAAGGUUCCACGCCCUGCAUGCUGAGAGGCAGCUGCUGUCCCCCUCUGGCCACCGCGGAAGGCUGUCACCGCCCUCCUGUGCCCUGGGCACCGUUUCUGCUCACCCCGUGGGCCUCCCCAGGAUGGCUUCCGUCUGUUCACGUCAGCGUCCCCGUGCGGAGGCUGCGAGCCGGCCUGGGAAACCUUCCCUGUCCUCCCUCCCCAGACCCAGGAGGGCGUGCCUUGCUCUCCUUGAUCUCCCCCUGCAAGAGCCAGCAAGACUUUCCUCUGGGGUUCUGAGAGAACAGAGGCUGGUCCCAGGCCUGUCUGCUCCUGAGCCCCAGCCCAGCCCCUUGCGGGCUCUCAGCGGGACCAGUUCCCACGGUGGUUUCCUUAAUCUUUGUACUGCUGGCCAUAUUUGGGAUCUGCCUGGGCCAGUGUGGGCAUAUGGGCGGAACAUUCCCUAGCGUGAAUGUACUGGGACCCCAUCAUGUAGGGCCUUCCUGACACGAGUACAUGUUUGUCUGCCCAGCAUCCCUGGCUCCUGCUGGAGACACUGUCUUCACCGUUCUGCAGUAAUCCUCAUUGACCCCCCGAUGUCCUCACCCUGCUCGAGAAUGAGCAUCUGUCCAUGGACCUAUAUAAGGUGACAACUGCCUUUCUUGCCAUGUGAAGUGAACGCCUCGAGACCACAGGUAAUGUGGAGGAACACCAAGCCCAGGGAUGGAGAGGAGCUCGGACCACAUCUCUACAGCUGCUGGAUCCAGCCAUGCCUGAAGACUUAUCAGUCGUAUGAGAUAACACACUCCUUUUUUUAAAGUAAAUGAGUUCAGUUUCUGCAACUGGAAAAGGCUGAAUAUAGUGCUGCUUCGAAAGAUGUAUAUAAUACCCCUUCGCUGUUUAGAUAUUUAGGCUCCGUUUGAAAACUGAGAUAUACGCAGACGUGAAGAAAAUAUGAAAGAUGGCGUAAAUUUAGUGGAUAGAUACUUGAAACUAGUUAUUUUGGUCUGUUCUCCAGAUUAAAGUUUUCCAUUACUUAACUUUUUUAUCUCCUUAUUUCUCUUUAUUCACUUUUAAGGGAAUCGUUAUAUUUACCCUCAACAUCUCUAAGAAAAUACGGGUCAAAG
rnacentral:lncRNA from 1 species